CAAGUCAUGACACUCGUCACCUCAAGGUUCAGUUAACUAUAUCUUGUGAAAAUGUCCCCAGCAACAAGGCAGAGCGUCAUGAAGAGGCUGCUGGGCACUGUGCUGGGGCUUUUGUGCACCCAGGUUUGCUGUGUGAGGGGUGCUCAGGUGGAGCAGAGUCCCCCAACCCUGAGUCUCCAGGAGGGAACCAGUUCCACACUGCGGUGCAAUUUUUCCAUCUCUGUAAACAGCGUGCAGUGGUUUCGCCAAAAUCCUGGGGGCCACCUCAUCAGCCUGUUUUACAUUUCUUCAGGGACCAAGCAGAAUGGAAGAUUAAAGGCUACGAUAGUCACCAAAGAACGCCACAGCUCAUUGUAUAUUUCCUCUUCCCAGACCACAGACUCAGCCACUUAUUUCUGUGCUGUGGAGCCACAGUGCUCCCCAGGCAUCUGCAGCCUGUACACAAACCCUCAGCUGGGCUCAACUCCUCCUCCAACCACAAUCACAUCACAAGGCCACCACACAGCAUUUGCACAGCUUAAUAUUGCUAACCCAAAUUGGUAGGGUUUUAACCAUAGUUACUUUUUGGCCCUACAAGUCUGGGACUUUGGUCCUUUAUCUUCACUUCUC